UGUGAACGUUACCAAACUGUUGCCUCGGCGGGAUCUCUGCCCCGGGUGCGUCGCAGCCCCGGACCAAGGCGCCCGCCGGAGGACCAACCAAAACUCUUAUUGUAUACCCCCUCGCGGGUUUUUUUAUAAUCUGAGCCUUCUCGGCGCCUCUCGUAGGCGUUUCGAAAAUGAAUCAAAACUUUCAACAACGGAUCUCUUGGUUCUGGCAUCGAUGAAGAACGCAGCGAAAUGCGAUAAGUAAUGUGAAUUGCAGAAUUCAGUGAAUCAUCGAAUCUUUGAACGCACAUUGCGCCCGCCAGUAUUCUGGCGGGCAUGCCUGUCCGAGCGUCAUUUCAACCCUCGAACCCCUCCGGGGGGUCGGCGUUGGGGAUCGGCCCUGCCUUGGCGGUGGCCGUCUCCGAAAUACAGUGGCGGUCUCGCCGCAGCCUCUCCUGCGCAGUAGUUUGCACACUCGCAUCGGGAGCGCGGCGCGUCCACAGCCGUUAAACACCCAACUUCUGAAAUGUUGACCUCGGAUCAGGUAGGAAUACCCGCUGAACUUAA
rnacentral:rRNA from 1 species